GACUGCCCGAGGGAGUAGAGAGGCCAAAACUUAGGAUUAAAACCAAAGACCCAAAAACCCCUGCCCCAUUUUCUCAAUUAGUCGCACCUACCCUUUUUCUCUCCGCUCUCUCUUAUUCUCUCUAAGUAAUUGCUUCAAGUCAUGCCUUCACUGCCUUGACCGGCUAAAUCUAUCACCGAUGAGCAACCAACCGGCUAAGCGGACACCACCUCUCUCUCAUCUCUCUCUCGCUAUUGACUUACCAGAAUUGAUGCCCAAUAAGUUCUAGCCAAACCACGCUUCGACGAUGUCCCUUCUUGGCCAGCGAGCACAUCAGUUUGCCGCCAUAGGAUAAAGGCCAGAGCUGACCUCCACAACUGUGAUUUUAUCCGCAAAACCAGCAAUAAUCGCCGCUGCCAGUAGCAAAAGCACUCCAGUGAAACACCAGCGAGCCGCACCAGCUACCCAGUCACCAGAUGUCGUUGCCUUCUCUAUCUUUGGCCAAAUAUAGCUAGAAAAACUUUAAAAUUCAUGGCGGGUUCAUGAAAACCGUUUCGUGUGAGUUACCUUGUUUAACGCCCAAGUAUUGUCAUCUUCUUCUUCCCCUUUCGUUCCUUUUUUUGAUAGAUUUUUAGAUUUGAAAUUGAUGAAAUUUGACUUUGAAUUUUGAGUUGAUUAUUUUAAUUUCAUGUUUUUUUUAUGUCCAUAGAUUAACAUAUAUGUAAAUUCCAAAAUUUCUAUGAAUUUUGUUUAACACGAGUGUUUGAUUGAAUAUUAACUAUGCA
rnacentral:lncRNA from 1 species